rnacentral:tRNA from 1 species
GCCUCUGUAGCUCCGUUGGUUAGAGCAUUGCACCGGAAUCGCAGGGCCGUAGGUUCAAUUCCUACCAGAGGAC